rnacentral:sRNA from 1 species
UACUCUGCCCAAUGGGGAAGGAUGAGAAGCUUCGACUAAGGUUCGACUCGAGCGUCAGCGAGAGAACGUUGCCGCAGGCAACGGCCCGAAGGGCGAGGCGCUUUAGCGCCGAGUAAUCCUUCCCCCACCACCA